rnacentral:rRNA from 1 species
UACAGAGGUCCCAAGCGUUGUUCGGAUUCAUUGGGCGUAAAGGGUGCGUAGGCGGCGCGGUAAGUCGGGUGUGAAAUCUCGGAGCUUAACUCCGAAACUGCAUUCGAUACUGCCGUGCUUGAGGACUGGAGAGGAGACUGGAAUUUACGGUGUAGCGGUGAAAUGCGUAGAUAUCGUAAGGAAGACCAGUGGCGAAGGCGGGUCUCUGGACAGUUCCUGACGCUGAGGCACGAAGGCCAGGGUAGCAAACGGG